rnacentral:lncRNA from 1 species
AGAUGGUGUCUACUCUGGUUCCACGUGUAAGCAGGGAGAGAUAGAAGCUAUAGUCAUUGCUACAGGGGUUCAUACAUUUUUUGGGAAGGCAGCUCACCUUGUCGACAGUACAAAUCAAGUGGGACACUUUCAGAAGGCAAGUAGAGUCUUCACUCUGAUACUCCAUGCAAAUGAUCUUGAUUAUCUGGUUACAUACGUUUUUUGGGAAGGCAGCUCACCUUGUCGACAGUACAAACCUAGUGGGACACUUUCAGAAGGCAAGUAGAGUCUUUACUCUGAUAUUCGAUGCAAAUGAUCUUUGAUUAUCUGAUUUUAAUGAAAUCUUACAUUGCAAAGCGAUACUUAUGGGUUUCAUCAGGUUUUGACUGCUAUAGGAAACUUCUGCAUCUGUUCAAUUGCUGUGGG